CAGCAGCCGCGGGAAUACAGAGGGUGCGAGCGUUAAUCGGAUUUACUGGGCGUAAAGCGUGCGUAGGCGGCUUCUUAAGUCGGAUGUGAAAUCCCUGAGCUUAACUUAGGAAUUGCAUUCGAUACUGGGAAGCUAGAGUAUGGGAGAGGAUGGUAGAAUUCCAGGUGUAGCGGUGAAAUGCGUAGAGAUCUGGAGGAAUACCGAUGGCGAAGGCAGCCAUCUGGCCUAAUACUGACGCUGAGGUACGAAAGCAUGGGGAGCAAACAGGAUUAGAUACCCCGGUAGUCCCUGUCUCUUAUAA
rnacentral:rRNA from 1 species